rnacentral:rRNA from 1 species
AGUGGGGAAUCUUGGACAAUGGGGGCAACCCUGAUCCAGCCAUGCCGCGUGAGUGAUGAAGGCCUUAGGGUCGUAAAGCUCUUUCGCCUGUGAAGAUAAUGACGGUAGCAGGUAAAGAAACCCCGGCUAACUCCGUGCCAGCAGCCGCGGUAAUACGGAGGGGGUUAGCGUUGUUCGGAAUUACUGGGCGUAAAGCGCACGUAGGCGGACUGGAAAGUUGGGGGUGAAAUCCCGGGGCUCAACCCCGGAACUGCCUCCAAAACUAUCAGUCUAGAGUUCGAGAGAGGUGAGUGGAAUUCCGAGUGUAGAGGUGAAAUUCGUAGAUAUUUGGAGGAACACCAGUGGCGAAGGCGGCUCACUGGCUCGAUACUGACGCUGAGGUGCGAAAGUGUGGGGAGCAAA